UACGUAGGGGGCAAGCGUUUGUCCGGAAUCAUUGGGCGUAAAGAGCGCGUAGGCGGCCCUGUAAGUCCGCUGUGAAAGUCAAGGGCUCAACCCAUAGUCUGCAUCGGAAACUGUCGGGCUUGAGUAUGGGAGAGGUGAGUGGAAUUUCCGGUGUAGCGGUGAAAUGCGUAGAUAUCGGAAGGAACACCUGUGGCGAAAGCGGCUCACUGGACCAUUACUGACGCUGAGGCACGAAAGCUAGGGGAGCAAACAGGG
rnacentral:rRNA from 1 species